rnacentral:rRNA from 1 species
AGCAGCCGCGGUAAUUCCAGCUCCAAUAGCGUAUAUUAAAGUUGUUGCAGUUAAAAAGCUCGUAGUUGAAUUUCGGGACCAAUAUGUCGGUCGUGCCUCGGUACGUACUGGUGUCAUUGGUUUCUCCCUUCUGAAGAACCUUGAUGUCAUUAAUUUGGUGUCUUGGGGAAUCAGGACUGUUACUUUGAAAAAAUUAGAGUGUUUAAAGCAGGCUCACGCUUGAAUACAUUAGCAUGGGAUAAUGAAAUAGGACGUUUGAUUCUAUUUUGUUGGUUUCUAGGAUCGACGUAAUGAUUAAUAGGGAUAGUUGGGGGCAUUAGUAUUCAAUUGUCAGAGGUGAAAUUCUUGGAUUUAUUGAAGACUAACUACUGCGAAAGCAUUUGCCAAGGAUGUUUUCAUUAAUCAAGAACGAAAGUUAGGGGAUCGAAGACGAUCAGAUACCGUCGUAGUCUUAACCAUAAACUAUAGCCGUACAGGGGAUCGGGAUGAUGUUAAUUUUUAANGUACUUNAUUCGGC